GACGAACGCUGGCGGCGUGCCUAAUACAUGCAAGUAGAACGCACAGUUUAUACCGUAGCUUGCUACACCAUAAACUGUGAGUUGCGAACGGGUGAGUAACGCGUAGGUAACCUGCCUGGUAGCGGGGGAUAACUAUUGGAAACGAUAGCUAAUACCGCAUAAUAUUAAUUAUUGCAUGAUAAUUGAUUGAAAGAUGCAAUUGCAUCACUACCAGAUGGACCUGCGUUGUAUUAGCUAGUAGGUGAGGUAACGGCUCACCUAGGCGACGAUACAUAGCCGACCUGAGAGGGUGAUCGGCCACACUGGGACGGAGACACGGCCCAGACUCCUACGGGAGGCAGCAGUAGGGAAUCUUCGGCAAUGGACGAAAGUCUGACCGAGCAACGCCGCGUGAGUGAAGAAGGUUGUCGGAUCGUAAAGCUCGGUUGUAAGAGAAGAACGGGUGUGAGAGUGGAAAGUUCACACUGUGACGGUAUCUGACCAGAAAGGGACGGCUAACUACGUG
rnacentral:rRNA from 1 species